rnacentral:rRNA from 1 species
GACGAACGCUGGCGGCGUGCCUAAUACAUGCAAGUCGAACGAACUCUGGUAUUGAUUGGUGCUUGCAUCAUGAUUUACAUUUGAGUGAGUGGCGAACUGGUGAGUAACACGUGGGAAACCUGCCCAGAAGCGGGGGAUAACACCUGGAAACAGAUGCUAAUACCGCAUAACAACUUGGACCGCAUGGUCCGAGUUUGAAAGAUGGCUUCGGCUAUCACUUUUGGAUGGUCCCGCGGCGUAUUAGCUAGAUGGUGAGGUAACGGCUCACCAUGGCAAUGAUACGUAGCCGACCUGAGAGGGUAAUCGGCCACAUUGGGACUGAGACACGGCCCAAACUCCUACGGGAGGCAGCAGUAGGGAAUCUUCCACAAUGGACGAAAGUCUGAUGGAGCAACGCCGCGUGAGUGAAGAAGGGUUUCGGCUCGUAAAACUCUGUUGUUAAAGAAGAACAUAUCUGAGAGUAACUGUUCAGGUAUUGACGGUAUUUAACCAGAAAGCCACGGCUAACUACGUGCCAGCAGCCGCGGUAAUACGUAGGUGGCAAGCGUUGUCCGGAUUUAUUGGGCGUAAAGCGAGCGCAGGCGGUUUUUUAAGUCUGAUGUGAAAGCCUUCGGCUCAACCGAAGAAGUGCAUCGGAAACUGGGAAACUUGAGUGCAGAAGAGGACAGUGGAACUCCAUGUGUAGCGGUGAAAUGCGUAGAUAUAUGGAAGAACACCAGUGGCGAAGGCGGCUGUCUGGUCUGUAACUGACGCUGAGGCUCGAAAGUAUGGGUAGCAAACAGGAUUAGAUACCCUGGUAGUCCAUACCGUAAACGAUGAAUGCUAAGUGUUGGAGGGUUUCCGCCCUUCAGUGCUGCGGCUAACGCAUUAAGCAUUCCGCCUGGGGAGUACGGCCGCAAGGCUGAAACUCAAAGGAAUUGACGGGGGCCCGCACAAGCGGUGGAGCAUGUGGUUUAAUUCGAAGCUACGCGAAGAACCUUACCAGGUCUUGACAUACUAUGCAAAUCUAAGAGAUUAGACGUUCCCUUCGGGGACAUGGAUACAGGUGGUGCAUGGUUGUCGUCAGCUCGUGUCGUGAGAUGUUGGGUUAAGUCCCGCAACGAGCGCAACCCUUAUUAUCAGUUGCCAGCAUUAAGUUGGGCACUCUGGUGAGACUGCCGGUGACAAACCGGAGGAAGGUGGGGAUGACGUCAAAUCAUCAUGCCCCUUAUGACCUGGGCUACACACGUGCUACAAUGGAUGGUACAACGAGUUGCGAACUCGCGAGAGUAAGCUAAUCUCUUAAAGCCAUUCUCAGUUCGGAUUGUAGGCUGCAACUCGCCUACAUGAAGUCGGAAUCGCUAGUAAUCGCGGAUCAGCAUGCCGCGGUGAAUACGUUCCCGGGCCUUGUACACACCGCCCGUCACACCAUGAGAGUUUGUAACACCCAAAGUCGGUGGGGUAACCUUUUAGGAACCAGCCGCCUAAGGUGGGACAGAUGAUUAGGGUGAAG